GUUUUUCCGACAAAAGCGACAACACGACCAAUAGCUUUGAGACCGUCUCACGGACUGAUGAUAGACCCAGUCGCAGUCGCAGCUUCAGUUUUCGAUUUCCUAAUAACGAAAAGCUAAGAAAAGAGCAGCAGCUCAGCUCAGAAACAUAACAGAAGGAAAAAACGCAAAAUAGACGACGUCUUCGGCGAGUGUAUGGGUGCUCUGAAUGAAUACACAACGAUAAAAGACCGAUCCCCGAUCCACCAGUGAUGAUUCCCACUUCCACGCGAGACUCACAAUCCACAGCGUCGACAGCGACGCCAACUGCAUCAGCGACGCCAGCAGAGGCAGCGACCGAGGCAGAAGCAGGGGCCUAGGCAACGAUGCAAUAAAUCGAAGCUAAUACACUUCUUUCUUAAUGUAGAGCGAUCCAGCGAACGUGCUCACACAGAUACACGAACACAUGCAAAGAUGCUCUGGCCUAGACGAGUUUCGAACGGUAAAUGAGGGGCCGCCAGCCGAGCGAUCCGCGCGAUGCAUCCUGCCUGGUUUUACUCAAUGAAAAUUCCAAAAGCGCUAGACCUGCAUCCAAAAACUGGGUGGAGAUCUUCCGCCCCAACGACGAACAGAGAGCCGAUCUCAAGACCCGAACCCGAACCCGAACCAAAGCCGAUCUCGUGGCCGCUUCACUUGGGUUCCACAAAACGCCGAGAUACUGUAUCUGAAAAGUGAGCGUGAAGCAGUCGCCGCUGGAAGCUCGAGCGGGCCACAAGCGGACAACAUUCUAGUAACUUGGGGGGUGCACCUAAAGAAAAAGAGAUUACUUCUGGGUUGAAUGGGUCGAAUUUUAGUUGUAGGAAUGUAACUUUUGAAUUAAUUUU
ensembl:ncRNA lncRNA:CR44768 long non-coding RNA:CR44768